GACGAGGACGCGUCCCCAGCCUCGGGCCUCGCUCCAGCUGGGCGCUGUUUUGUAAGGACUCCUGGGCCUCUGCGGCGCAGAGAUAAGCCCAAGAAUUCGCCGUCAGUUCCAAAUAUCCCGUCCGCUUCCUCCCGCCGUCCUCGCCGCCGCUCCAGCCCGCUUGUCUCAUUUCCGCAGCAGCGUGCUGGGGAGCGCUUCCUGUUUUCCCCCCGGCCCCGGGGCGGCGGCGGGGGCCGAGGGGCGCGGGGAGGAAGGGCAGNNNNNNNNNNNNNNNNNNNNCAGGACAAUGGGCGCAGGUCGGCACGGGCAGCUGCCCAUCGCCCGGGAUGGGGGCUCCUCGGUGGCCCGGGAUGGGGCUGCGAGGGAGGGGGAAGGCGGAUGGCAGGUGGCAGCGGCGGGGAUGUGGGUCCUGGGUUGAGCUGAGAUUGCGGUUGGGGUUUCUUUCCUUUCCUGAUUGCUUUUUUUUUUUUUUUUUUCCUCUUUCUUUCUUUCUUUCAAGGGCUUUUCUGUAAAUCAACCCAAGCUCCCUAGAGAGCAUCGUCUCUGUGCCGCAGUGGGAGCCCCUGCUCCAGCUGGGCAUGAGGACGGGAGUGAAGCCGGGUGGAGCACAGCCCUGGGCGGGGGGACCCUGCCCUCUAUGGGGCAGUGGGUCACCCCGCCGAAAAUCACAUUUUAGGGUCCCUUCAGUCAAACCACCCACCACAACCUUCUUCUCCCCAGCCACAGUACGGGAGAGCAGCAUCCCCACGGGACUGCCACCUCCUAGGAGCUGUGUCACGGGGCAGGAGGUCAGGAUGUGGCUACCCCAUCCCAAACUGCAGCUCUGAGACAAAGAGGAUCCAUUCCGGAGCUCUGCUCGCUUGGAGCUCAGCGACCUCCUGCCACAGGUGAUCCCUGGGCAGGAGCGAGCUGAGGAAGAGACACGGCUCGGCUCGGCAUGGCCAGCAGCCAGGCAGGCUCCGGCCCCCCAGGCAGGGAUGGGGGAGGCCGGGAUUUCCCAGGGUGGUCCUGAGUGGUGCUGGGAUCCGUGUCCAUGUCCCUGGGGCUGCACAUCAGGGACUUUGAGGCAGGAAAUAGAGCUGCUGGAUUGGGACGAGCUCCUCAGUGCUGGCAACAUCUCUGCAUGGGCAGGGGAUGGGCAUGGUUGGAAAAAAAUCUCCCCCUCCUGCCUCCAGUUGUGUCCUGCAGCAUCUUGCUGCAGGCAGGAUGGGGGCCAGUUUGGACAAAUCUAGCUGUCCCCUCCUAGCUGUGCCCUCUGCCAGCUCCUGUAAGCUGAGAACCAGUCCUGGGGACACCAAAAGGAAUUUAUGCUUUUGGGACCAGUGGAUGGCCCCAAGGACCAGGCUGGUGGCAGUGGGCUGACCUUACAGCAGAGGAAAUGAUCCAGUUGUGUUCCCCGCACUGGGAAAGCCAGGAGAUAUUGCAUGUCCCCUUCUGCUGCUAUCCGUCCUCCCUCCUGUGAAUUCCCUGUCAUCUUGUCUUUUGGCAGAGCUGGAAAACUGGGGGACCACCGUAAAUAAAUCCUGUGUCUUUAAGCCGUUUUGUACA
ensembl:lncRNA